rnacentral:snRNA from 1 species
CAAAAGGACUUCUGUUAUGAGUGACACCUAUAGUGCAACUUGAUUGGUGUUUGUGUGGAAUCAUAAGAGAUUUUAGAAGCCUAAGUUUCUGAUACACAGGCAGCUGGGGAGUGUUGGUCUUGAUGUCCUA